rnacentral:rRNA from 1 species
UUGAACGCUGGCGGCAUGCUUUACACAUGCAAGUCGGACGGCAGCGCGGGCUUCGGCCUGGCGGCGAGUGGCGAACGGGUGAGUAAUACAUCGGAACGUGCCCAGUAGUGGGGGAUAGCUCGGCGAAAGCCGGAUUAAUACCGCAUACGACCUGAGGGUGAAAGCGGGGGACUUUAGGGCCUCGCGCUAUUGGAGCGGCCGAUGGCAGAUUAGCUAGUUGGUGGGGUAAAGGCCUACCAAGGCGACGAUCUGUAGCUGGUCUGAGAGGACGACCAGCCACACUGGGACUGAGACACGGCCCAGACUCCUACGGGAGGCAGCAGUGGGGAAUUUUGGACAAUGGGCGCAAGCCUGAUCCAGCAAUGCCGCGUGUGUGAUGAAGGCCUUCGGGUUGUAAAGCACUUUUGGCAGGAACGAAAAGUGCCGUGCUAAUACCACGGUACGAUGACGGUACCUGCAGAAUAAGCACCGGCUAACUACGUG